CCUUGUACACACCGCCCGUCACACCAUGGGAGUGGGUUUCACCAGAAGUAGGUAGUCUAACCGCAAGGAGGGCGCUUACCACGGUGGGAUUCAUGACUGGGGUG
rnacentral:rRNA from 1 species